rnacentral:rRNA from 1 species
GACGAACGCUGGCGGCGUGCCUAAUACAUGCAAGUCGAACGAGAGCAACCGGUGCUUGCACUGGUCAAUCUAGUGGCGAACGGGUGAGUAACACGUGGGUAACCUGCCCAUCAGAGGGGGAUAACAUCCGGAAACGGAUGCUAAAACCGCAUAGGUCUUCGAACCGCAUGGUUUGAAGAGGAAAAGAGGCGCAAGCUUCUGCUGAUGGAUGGACCCGCGGUGCAUUAGCUAGUUGGUGAGGUAACGGCUCACCAAGGCCGUGAUGCAUAGCCGACCUGAGAGGGUGAUCGGCCACAUUGGGACUGAGACACGGCCAAAACUCCUACGGGAGGCAGCAGUAGGGAAUCUUCCGCAAUGGACGCAAGUCUGACGGAGCAACGCCGCGUGAGUGAAGAAGGUUUUCGGAUCGUAAAACUCUGUUGUUAGAGAAGAACAAGUGCUAGAGUAACUGUUAGCGCCUUGACGGUAUCUAACCAGAAAGCCACGGCUAACUACGUG